rnacentral:tRNA from 1 species
GGAGGAGUCGGAUAGUGGUUCAUUCCACAGACUUGGAAAGUCUGCGGCUUAACAGCCUCGCGAGUUCGAAUCUCGCCUCCUCCG